GCUGCGAUGGCCGAGUGGUUAAGGCGUUGGACUCGAAAUCCAAUGGGAUAUUCCCGCGCAGGUUCGAAUUCUGUUCGCAGCG
rfam:Ciona savignyi cont_8826, whole genome shotgun sequence.